GGGAGGAAAAGAAAACCCANCANGGGAUUGCCCUCAGUAACGGCGAAGUGAAAGCGGCACCAGCUCAAAUUUGAAAUCUGGGCCCUUUCGGGGUCCGAGUUGUAAUUUGUAGAGAGUGCUUCGGGGGAGGCGGCGGUCUAAGUCCAUUGGAACAUGGCGUCAUAGAGGGUGAGAAUCCCGUAUGCGACCGUGGCUCGAACCCAUGUGAAGCCUCUUCGACGAGUCGAGUUGUUUGGGAAUGCAGCUCAAAAUGGGUGGUAAAUUUCAUCUAAAGCUAAAUACCGGCUGGAGACCGAUAGCGCACAAGUAGAGUGAUCGAAAGAUGAAAAGCACUUUGGAAAGAGAGUCAAACAGUACGUGAAAUUGUUGAAAGGGAAGCGCUUGCAACCAGACCUGCCCGCAGGCGAUCAGCCGCUGUUCUCAGCGGUGCACUCGCCCUGCGAUCAGGCCAGCAUCGGUUUCGGCGGUCGGAUAAAGGCCUUGGGAAUGUAGCUCCCCUUCGGGGGAGCCUUAUAGCCCUCGGUGCAAUGCGGCCAGCCGAGACCGAGGACCGCGCUUCGGCUAGGAUGCUGGCGUAAUGGUUGUAAGCGACCCGUCUUGAAACACGGACCAAGGAGUCUAACAUCUAUGCGAGUGUUUGGGUGUCAAACCCAUGCGCGGAAUGAAAGUGAACGGAGGUGAGAACCCCGAAGGGCGCAUCAUCGACCGAUCCAGAUGUCUUCGGAUGGAUUUGAGUAUGAGCAUAGCUGUUGGGACCCGAAAGAUGGUGAACUAUGCCUGAAUAGGGUGAAGCCAGAGGAAACUCUGGUGGAGGCUCGCAGCGGUUCUGACGUGCAAAUCGAUCGUCAAAUUUGGGAUAGGGGCGAAAGACUAAUCGAACCU
rnacentral:rRNA from 1 species